UACGUAGGGUCCAAGCGUUGUCCGGAUUUAUUGGGCGUAAAGAGCUCGUAGGCGGCUCAGUAAGUCGGAUGUGAAAACUCGGGGCUCAACCCCGAGACGCCAUCCGAUACUGCUGUGGCUUGAGUCUGGUAGGGGAACACGGAAUUCCUGGUGUAGCGGUGAAAUGCGCAGAUAUCAGGAGGAACACCGAUGGCGAAGGCAGCGUUCUGGGCCAGUACUGACGCUGAGGAGCGAAAGCGUGGGGAGCGAACAGG
rnacentral:rRNA from 1 species